CAGGGAGGCGGGGCGGGCUCUCCCCAGGGCGAGGGGCACACAGGGUGAAGGGGGCAGAGCAGAGCCAGGUGCUCAGGGACAAGGCAGCAGGAGGGGCAAAUGCCUGGAGGAGGUGACCCAGGGGGACAGGGCCCUGGGGCCUCGGACAGGCAGGGUCAGUGCAGACACACGGAGGUUUUGAGAAGGGGGUGAGAUGCCCUGAUUUGCAUGUGCAACAGUCAUUCUGGAUGCUGUGCAGAGAAUGGAAGGGACCAUGGCAGGUGUCCCGGCCCAGAGUCCGCAGCCACGGAGACACACAAGAUGCAGACCCCGAUAUAUUGUAGAGAUGGGACUGGCUGGUGGCUUGCCAGGUACAGGGGACAAGGACAAGGUUCCAUACCCAGUGUGCGGCUCAGCAUGGGGCCUGACCUCACAACCCUGAGAUCAAGAGUCAAACGCUAAACUGACUGAGCCAUCCAGGGCACCUGGGUGAUCAAUUGGUUGAGUGCCCAACUUUUGAUUUCAGCUCGGGUCAUGAUCUCAGAGUCUGGAAUCAAGCCUUUCAAUGGGCUCUGCACUAAGCGAAGAUUCCCUCCCUCCCUCUCCCUCUGCCCCUCUUUCUGCUUUCUUUCUCUCUCCCCCUAAAAACAAAUAAAAUCUUUUAAAAAAUUA